UACGUAGGGUGCAGGCGUUAAUCGGAAUUACUGGGCGUAAAGCGUACGCAGGCGGUUUGCUAAGACAGGUGUGAAAUCCCCGGGCUUAACCUGGGAACUGCGCUUGUUACUGGCAAGCUAGAGUGUGGCAGAGGGGGGUAGAAUUCCAGGUGUAGCAGUGAAAUGCGUAGAUAUCUGGAGGAACACCGGUGGCGAAGGCGGCAUCCUGGACCAACACUGACACUGAGGAGGCGAAAG
rnacentral:rRNA from 1 species